UGAAGCUGUAUGUCUGUUGGUUCCUGCUUGACCUUCAGAUGUUCCACAUCCUCCAAGAGCACUUCAGAAUGUCCAUGUUCAUGGUCUGGAGCCUGAAGGCAGGAAGCCACCUGACACGUUUUGAGGGCACUCAAGCAGCCCCAUGAAGAGUACCAACAUGGUAAAGAACUAAGACCUCCUGCCAACAGCCAAUCUUCAACUACAGCCACAGCCUCCUCCCCACUCUCUGGAUGGUGCUCCCGCACCC